GACGAACGCUGGCGGCGUGCUUAACACAUGCAAGUCGAGCGGAAAGGCCCUUCGGGGUACUCGAGCGGCGAACGGGUGAGUAACACGUGAGUAACCUGCCCCAGACUUUGGGAUAACCCUCGGAAACGGGGGCUAAUACCGGAUACGACACAGCUUCGCAUGGGGUCUGUGUGGAAAGUUUUUCGGUUUGGGAUGGGCUCGCGGCCUAUCAGCUUGUUGGUGGGGUGAUGGCCUACCAAGGCGACGACGGGUAGCCGGCCUGAGAGGGCGACCGGCCACACUGGGACUGAGACACGGCCCAGACUCCUACGGGAGGCAGCAGUGGGGAAUAUUGCACAAUGGGCGGAAGCCUGAUGCAGCGACGCCGCGUGAGGGAUGACGGCCUUCGGGUUGUAAACCCCUUUCAGCAGGGACGAAGCGUAAGUGACGGUACCUGCAGAAGAAGCGCCGGCCAACUACGUG
rnacentral:rRNA from 1 species